UACGUAGGAGGCGAGCGUUGUUCGGAAUUACUGGGCGUAAAGCGCGUGUAGGCGGCCCUGCAAGUCGGAUGUGAAAUCCCACGGCUCAACCGUGGAAGUGCAUUCGAAACUGCAGGGCUAGAGUCCUGGAGAGGAAGGUGGAAUGCUUGGUGUAGAGGUGAAAUUCGUAGAUAUCAAGCGGAACACCGGUGGCGAAGGCGGCCUUCUGGACAGUGACUGACGCUGAGACGCGAAAGCGUGGGGAGCAAACAGG
rnacentral:rRNA from 1 species